AUUGGGACUUGGAGGCGCAGAAGCGUGCAAUCAAAAACAUCGCCUUUGGAGAUAAUGUACUCAGAUGCCGGGGUGCUGAGUUGCUCACCUUUGCAAUGAACAGAAGAUGCUGUCAGACUUGCUGACCAGCAAUUUUUGUUUUUGUUAAAGGACAAACAACCAUAAUUUGAUUCACAUCUAGGACCAAGCUUCUGCAUCUUGACUAAUCUACAAAUCAAAAACUGGUUAUGGAAAUUGGAGACAGUUCAAGUCUUCAUUUGAAAGUUUAAAAGAAGAAUUUGCAUAUAGCACCUUUCUUGAGCUCAAGAUAUCCUGUUACAGCCAAAGUAUUUUGAAGUCUAACCACUGUUGUAAUAUAAAGAAAGAUAACCUCCAUUUUAACUUUGACUAUAAGUACAUAAGUCUCCCAAAUUGUAACAAGACGAAAUAUGCAUCUUCGACGUUUGCUUCAGAGUAAAUACUAAAACAAUAAAAAGAGUGGCGAUUA